rnacentral:rRNA from 1 species
GGGCCCGCACAAGCAGCGGAGCGUGUGGUUAAUUCGAUGUUACACGAAGAACCUUACAGGGUUUGACAUGCAAGUGGUAGGAAGCCGAAAGGUGACCGACCCUUCGGGAGCUUGCACAGGUGCUGCAUGGCUGUCGUCAGCUCGUGUCGUGAGAUGUUCGGUUAAGUCCGCUAACGAGCGCAACCCUCGCUGUGUGUUAUAUGUGUCACACGGGACUGCCGGUCUUAAGCCGGAGGAAGGUGGGGAUGAUGUCAAGUCAGCAUGGCCUUUAUAUCCUGGGCUACACACACGCUACAAUGGCCAACACAAUAGGUUGCUAAGCCGCGAGGUGGCGCCAAUCCAUAAAGUUGGUCUCAGUUCAGAUUGUAGGCUGCAACCCGCCUGCAUGAAGAUGGAGUUGCUAGUAACCGCAGGUCAGCUAUACUGCGGUGAAUACGUUCCCGGGGCUU